ACCCAUUGGCCCUCUCAGUGCUAGGACUCCACCUGGCCCAGACCAUUUGUAGGCACUGUGCAUGCUGCCAUAGUCUUGUAAAUUCAUAUGUGUAUCAGUCCAGCUGUCUUUAGAAGGCCUUGUUUUCUUGCUCUCCUAUUCUCAUUUCAAAACUACAUCACAAAUAAAAUCAAACACCUUUUUAUUGUGGCCUUCAGUUCAAAGUCUCUGCCCAUAUUUCUUCAGAGAGCAUCAUACAGUAUGCACUUUCCUAGGUUUUUCUUUGGCUUGGCAUUUAUAAUAAAUGUAUUUGCCUUUAUAAAUGUGUAUGAGCUCACUUUCUUUCACUGUUCUAUAAGUAUUAGGAGACUUUACUCAGGGUCCAGGCAAGAAGACGAACUGCUCUAAGGAGUAAAACAAGACAAUCAACUGAAGAAAUUAUGUAAUAGUUUGAGAUUUAUAAGGAUAAAAAAAUUAUAAAGAGCCAGAACCAGCAAGAGUAUUAUUAUACCUAAAGGACUCUGAGGAUUUCUAUAAUCAACAGCCAAAUUCCUUAACAGGAUGAGACAAUAACAGGUGUAAAUACGAGAGU
rnacentral:lncRNA from 1 species